rnacentral:rRNA from 1 species
UGGGGGAUAUUGCACAAUGGGCGAAAGCCUGAUGCAGCGACGCCGCGUGGGGGAUGAAGGCCUUCGGGUUGUAAACUUCUUUUGCUCUGAACAAGGCAUGCUAAUGGGUGUGUUGAGUGUAGGGGUUGAUUAGCGCCGGCUAACUACGUGCCAGCAGCCGCGGUAAUACGUAGGGCGCGAGCGUUGUCCGGAAUUAUUGGGCGUAAAGGGCUCGUAGGUGGCUGGUUGCGUCUGUCGUGAAAGCUCAUGGCUUAACUGUGGGUUUGCGGUGGGUACUGGCUGGCUUGACUGCAGUAGGGGAGGCUGGAAUUCCUGGUGUAGCGGUGGAAUGCGCAGAUAUCAGGAGGAAUACCGGUGGCGAAGGCGGGUCUCUGGGCUGUUACUGACACUGAGGAGCGAAAGCAUGGGGAGCGAACAGG